rnacentral:rRNA from 1 species
AACAAUGCGCAGCUUACACAUGCAAGUCGAGCGGGGAAGUAAGUUCGCUCUGCUACUUUAUACCUAGCGGCGGAACGGGUGAGUAAUGCUUAGGAGUCUGCCUAUUAGUGGGGGAGAACAUCUCGAAAGGGAUGCUAAUACCGCAUACGUCCUACGGGAGAAAGCAGGGGACCUUCGGGCCUUGCGCUAAUAGAUGAGCCUAAGUCGGAUUAGCUAGUUGGUGGGGUAAAGGCCUACCAAGGCGACGAUCUGUAGCGGGUCUGAGAGGAUGAUCCGCCACACUGGGACUGAGACACGGCCCAGACUCCUACGGGAGGCAGCAGUGGGGAAUAUUGGACAAUGGGGGGAACCCUGAUCCAGCCAUGCCGCGUGUGUGAAGAAGGCCUUUUGGUUGUAAAGCACUUUAAGCGAGGAGGAGGCUACCGAGAUUAAUACUCUUGGAUAGUGGACGUUACUCGCAGAAUAAGCACCGGCUAACUCUGUGCCAGCAGCCGCGGUAAUACAGAGGGUGCAAGCGUUAAUCGGAUUUACUGGGCGUAAAGCGCGCGUAGGUGGCCAAUUAAGUCAAAUGUGAAAUCCCCGAGCUUAACUUGGGAAUUGCAUUCGAUACUGGUUGGCUAGAGUAUGGGAGAGGAUGGUAGAAUUCCAGUGUAGCGGUGAAAUGCGUAGAGAUCUGGAGGAAUACCGAUGGCGAAAGCAGCCCAUCUGGGCCUAAUACUGACACUGGAGGUGCGAAAGCAUGGGGGAGCAACAGGAUUAGAUACCCCUGGUAGUCCAUGCCGUAACGAUGUCUACUAGCCGUUGGGGCCUUUGAGCUUUAGUGGCGCAGCUACGCGAUAGUAGACCGCCUGGGGGAGUACGUUCGCAGACUAAAACUCAAUGAUUUGACUGGGGCCGGCACAGCGGUGGAGCCAUGUGGAUUAAUUCGAAUGCCAUCGCGAAGAACCGUAGCUGGUCUGACUAGCUAGACGUACGGAAGAUGGAUG